rnacentral:lncRNA from 1 species
GCGUCGGCAAACUACCACUCAUUCUCACAACUUCAUCUAGUUCUCUACAACACCUAUAUAUAUAUAUAUAUAUAUAUAUAUACAUAUACAUACAUAGAGAUAGAUAGAUAUGUGUGUGUGUGUGUAUUGACAUACAAUCACUACCAUCGCAGCCAGUGCUUGAAUCAAUCCCUUACAUGCACCUGAGUCAGUCCUUCAAAAACUACUUGAAGCCGUCAGAUGCUCGCUUCA